rnacentral:piRNA from 1 species
UUCUAGUUCCAGAGUUCAGAGGCAUGACAU